UUGUGUCUGGUGUCAGAAAAACUGUCUCAUGAGUAUAGGAAGACAGAGCUGUGCUCUUGGUGCUCUCCCUUUAAGGAAAAAGAUGCAGGUACACAGUGAUUUGCAUGUAUACCAAGCUGAAGCAGGGGCAAAUAAGAAGCCUGUGACGGGGCAGAAAACAAUGUCCCUACAAAUCCAGCUGUUCUUUGAACAUCCUCAUCAUCCAACACCUAUUGUACAUGCUUAAAGUCUUUGGAAAAGAUUAUGGACCCAAACACCACUGGUCUUCUCUCUGGAUUCUGCUUGGACUAAAUAACUCUAGGAAAGGACCAUGCAAGAUAAAAAGGAGGAGCGUAACUUCUGAAGAAACAGUUUUGCUCUGCUUUGGAUUUUCCCAAUAUCAUCUGUUCUUUGUUUUGAAUACAUUUUUUUUCUCUGUUAAGGGAAGAAGAAAUAUACCCCAAGCCAGUCUUGUGUUACAGCUUCUUUACCUUUGUCUGCCUAACUCAGCUGGUAUUUAAUUGGUCAGCAAUGGGAGGGAAGUCUCCUUUGAGGUAAUGAAUAUUGACUGUUUAUGUUGAAAUGUCACUGUGAAAAGAAAGCCCAGCACCAAAGAGGCGGAACUCAGUGUGAGAGUUUCAGACACAAAGGAGACACCAGCAAAGCACAGGCAUUGAAAAGCAAAGCAGCUGAAAUUCAAAGAAAAGAUGAAACAGAAAUGGUCUACAUGUGUGGGAAUUUUAAGCUGCCAGUUGACAGGUGAAAAAGUCAUUAUUCCACCUGUUAGAACUAAGCGUAAUUGCUUGUUUUUCCUAAAAUAACACAGAGACUCAUAAUUUUUCUUAAUUGAAAAUUCAUUGAAACUUAUUUACAAAUACUUUACUUCUUCUUUCAAGUGAAUCUUUGAACAAUUUCUGCAUUAGCUUCAAUCUGGGCCCAUUCACACAAUGUGUCCACCUGGGACAUCCUGCAAUCCUGCAAACAGUGGGCUGCUGUCAAUAGGAAAGUAUCAUCAGGACCUGGACUGCAAACAAAAUGUUACUAAAUGAACUAAAUGUGUAAGAAACAUCUGCAAAGUGCCAUUUCUAUGCAGUCAGCAAAGGCUUUGAAAGGUGACGCUUUCCACGGCCUCAACGAGAGGAUGGCCAUGUCCCACAGCACUGACCAUGGGCAGGCAGCACGUUUUGGGUUUAGUGUUUGGUUUUUUGAUUGAUUCAUUGUUUGUUUGUUUGUUUUCCUUUCCCCAGAAACUUUCAAUGGCUUCAGGGAACUUUCUGUAUGUCUGAAGGGUAAGCUGCUUUCCACUUGCACUGAGAAACAGCCCUCACAUUACUUGAGCCUCCUAAAUGGCUGUAUUGUGCAAAAAUAUAUGGAUAUACCUCGGGAAUGAUCCAAUUUAAUAGCAAAUAUAAAGUAUUUUUAACCUCGGAAAUGGCGGAGCUAAACUUAAGAACCAGAUACUUCUGCAUUAAUUCUACAGCUUGGAGCAAUGAAUGGAAUACACUAGCAUUUAAUAUCCUUCCUUUGCUAUUUAUUUGUUCUCCUUCAAAAAAGAAGGAAAAAAAAAAAGUGUUUAUUUUCUUAUUUUUUAAAACGUUCUAACAUUUUAUCAUUAAGGUCCUCAAAACACUGAUCUCUCCAGUGAAGGUUUAUUUCAUAUCUUGCUGUGUGGUUCCAAAAUACUUGGAUUUAGACUGAUCUUGCUUUGUUUUGAUUGUGCAUCUCUACACAAACAGAAGAUAACAUUUUUAGUCACAAUUGGGUGUUAUGUUUGAACUCUAACCUGUGACAUUCACCUAGCUCGAUCUAACAAGCUUUGUGUUCCCUGUCCAGAUGAAGAGUGAUACUUCUUCAUUAGCAAGAUCAGUUUCACCUUUAAAAACCCUUUGCUUCCCUUUUGCAUUAAGCCAGAUUGAGAUGUCUUGGGUCAUGAUGACAUUUCAGGAGGAUUCAGAAGCAAAAGAGGGAGUCAUUACAUCCGCAGUUCACCUGCAAAGAAGAUGUCAUUAAAAGAGGAAGCAAAAUGAACCCCUGUCAACUUGCUAGGGCCCAAAAGGUAAUUCUGCCAUCAUAUAUGGAGCAGAGUAUGAUACAGAAUCCUAUUAUUACUGACACCAGAUAACUUGCUGGUGUAAAAGGUUCUCUUUUCCAGAAAAGUUCAGGUGAUACUGAAUUUAUUAAUGUGUCAGUUUGAGGAGACGUGAUGUCACUUCUGUUGUCUGCAGGGAUGAAAACUGGAGUGUCCUUGCUCCUGUCAACACACUAUCAGCUUAAUUUCUUUUACUGUGCACCUUGUUGCCAUCUGUGGAGGGGAAAGCAAGGGAUGAGAGUGAAGUGUCAGGGUAGAUGCCUUUUAAAAAAGAACUACUAAUAUUUGAUAUUGAUCAUUUUAACCUGCCUUUUUCCAAAACGCACAUUUAUUACACUAAUGUUUCUGGUGAGUGGUUUGCCUGAUCCCACCAGGAUCUUACUCAUAUGACUUGAAGCUUUACCUGAUCAUGUAGAUUUACAGAAAAUGGAUUUUGUUAUUUUCUAAUAUUCCUCAUUCAGAAAAUAUACAGAUUAUUUUCUUUUCUACUUGAUAUAAAAUCUAGCAACUGCAUUCCACUCCAGUGUGAUUGGAAAGAUAGUUGAAAUUUUCAGACUACAAAGGUAUGUGAUACAGUUAUGCAGAAAUACUGAUAGAAUCACAUCUGGUGGUACUGACUGAGAGCAGGAAAAAUUCCAAGUCAUGUACAGUAUUUCAUAAGGUGGCUUUGGUUUUUUGAAACUAAAACUGGUAUCAACUUGAAAGCUCCUGGUUGUAAGAACAAGGUAAAAUGUUUGCUUGUUUUUAACAAAUAGAUGAAUAACUUUUCAGUUGUAUUGCAUAAGAAUAUUUUCAUCAUAAAAGCAUUUUCUCUGCCUUCUCUAUCUAGAGAUACAGAAUAACUGCAGAACGAAUCCGAACACUUUUAAUGAAAGUGGUAUUACUAAACCAGAACAUUUUCCAGGUGAAAAACAUUUUGCCUUGCCCACUGAACGCAGUCUGGAAUUUUUGUAGUAACAGGAAAUAUUUUCUUUCAGUUCUAAGGUGUCACAUGCUGAUUCUGUGCAACACAUUUCAAUCUGGGUAUUAUAACAACUCAUCUGAAACUGAUCUUAAUGGAUUUUUGAACUGCUAAUAUUUCAGAUUUGAACUACAUGUACUUCAAUUGAUGAUCUGAGCAUUCCACAAAUACCAGAACUAGCAUGUUUACUGCCCUGCAGUUGAUUGAUAUCUCCUAAUGAAGAAAGCACCUGGAAAAAUGAUAAAGGAAAGUUACUAAUUGGUUUAACUUAGGUCAGCCACUUCAUAUUUUAUAAAUGAGGAAACUUUUGAGGAAUUGCUGCUGGAAGCCAUCUGCUAACAAAUAAAAUGAAUGAUAAUCAUCGGGUUCCACUUGCUGUUUACACAAAGUAUCAUCAGAAAAAAAAAUACAGCUGCUGGCAUCAAAGUAAGAGCAACGUAGGAACUCAAAUUCAAAGUCCCUAAUAAUCAUCUUUGUAUUAUAAAGUGUUAAUCAGUUUGGUAUACACAAACCUGUCAGCAGUUCUGGAGAGAGACUACUUGUGGUCACUUUUAAGAGCUGCCAGUAGAAUUUACAAUAGCAAAUUAUGAUUUAUUAUUCCUUCCAGGACAUCCGAUGUUUCUGUUCCCAAUUCUCCUUCCCUCCCCAUCACCCCUUUUCCAGCUAAGACUGUGUCGGGCUGGGAAAUAUCCAAGAUGUGUGUAUUUCUCUUGUAUCGUGAAUAAUUUUGCAAGUCAUUAAACCUUUGUUUCUUGUCUUUUC